AAAGCCUCUAAGCAUCAGGUAACAUCAGAUCGUACCCCAAACCGACACAGGUGGUCAGGUAGAGAAUACCAAGGCGCUUGAGAGAACUCGGGUGAAGGAACUAGGCAAAAUGGUGCCGUAACUUCGGGAGAAGGCACGCUGAUAUGUAGGUGAAGCGAUUUACUCGUGGAGCUGAAAUCAGUCGAAGAUACCAGCUGGCUGCAACUGUUUAUUAAAAACACAGCACUGUGCAAACACGAAAGUGGACGUAUACGGUGUGACGCCUGCCCGGUGCCGGAAGGUUAAUUGAUGGGGUUAUCCGUAAGGAGAAGCUCUUGAUCGAAGCCCCGGUAAACGGCGGCCGUAACUAUAACGGUCCUAAGGUAGCGAAAUUCCUUGUCGGGUAAGUUCCGACCUGCACGAAUGGCGUAAUGAUGGCCAGGCUGUCUCCACCCGAGACUCAGUGAAAUUGAACUCGCUGUGAAGAUGCAGUGUACCCGCGGCAAGACGGAAAGACCCCGUGAACCUUUACUAUAGCUUGACACUGAACACUGGUCCUUGAUGUGUAGGAUAGGUGGGAGGCUUUGAAGCGCGGACGCCAGUUCGUGUGGAGCCAUCCUUGAAAUACCACCCUUUAAUGGCUGGUGUUCUAACGUGGGCCCGUAAUCCGGGUUGCGGACAGUGUCUGGUGGGUAGUUUGACUGGGGCGGUCUCCUCCUAAAGAGUAACGGAGGAGCACGAAGGUUAGCUAAUCCUGGUCGGACAUCAGGAGGUUAGUGCAAAGGCAUAAGCUAGCUUGACUGCGAGCGUGACGGCGCGAGCAGGUGCGAAAGCAGGUCUUAGUGAUCCGGUGGUUCUGAAUGGAAGGGCCAUCGCUCAACGGAUAAAAGGUACUCCGGGGAUAACAGGCUGAUACCGCCCAAGAGUUCAUAUCGACGGCGGUGUUUGGCACCUCGAUGUCGGCUCAUCACAUCCUGGGGCUGAAGUAGGUCCCAAGGGUAUGGCUGUUCGCCAUUUAAAGUGGUACGCGAGCUGGGUUUAGAACGUCGUGAGACAGUUCGGUCCCUAUCUGCCGUGGGCGCUGGAGAAUUGAGGGGGGCUGCUCCUAGUACGAGAGGACCGGAGUGGACGCAUCACUGGUGUUCGGGUUGUCAUGCCAAUGGCACUGCCCGGUAGCUAAAUGCGGAAGAGAUAAGUGCUGAAAGCAUCUAAGCACGAAACUUGCCCCGAGAUGAGUUCUCCCUGACCCUUUAAGGGUCCUGAAGGAACGUUGAAG
rnacentral:rRNA from 1 species